rnacentral:rRNA from 1 species
GAUGGCGUACCGGCGCACGGGUGCGUAACACGUAUCCAAUCUGCCCGUUACUCGGGGAUAGCCUUCUGAAAGGAAGAUUAAUACCCGAUGGCAUGGUAUUUCCGGCAUCGGAGAUACAUUAAAGAUUUAUCGGUAACGGAUGAGGAUGCGUACGAUUAGCUGGUUGGCGGGUAACGGCCCACCAAGGCGACGAUCGUUAGGGGUUCUGAGACGGAAGGUCCCCACACUGGAACUGAGACACGGUCCAGACUCCUACGGGAGGCAGCAGUGAGGAAUAUUGGUCAAUGGUCGAGAGACUGAACCAGCCAAGUAGCGUGAAGGAUGACUGCCCUACGGGUUGUAAACUUCUUUGUUUGGGAAUAAAUGAUACUAACGUGUAGUAUUUGCAUGUACCUUACGAAUAAGCAUCGGCUAAUUCCGUG